CGGUUAGGGUUUGGAAAGCUCUGAUAAAAUUUAUAUACAUUAUACAUAUAUUCAAUUGCCAAAUGUAUAAGAUUUGAAUAAAUAUUUAUGAAAAUAAUCAAUGACAAAAUUAGUCAUUUCAGUAGCUAUACCUACAUUACUGUAAGAUAUUUUAUAUUGUGGGAUGACGUGGGGUGCUUAAUUCUUAAAUCCCCUUUUCUUUGUUUUUUCCAACUUCCAACUUUUUUCCUUUUUUCCCAGAACCUCUUUUUUUUUUGUAUCCUCUAUAUCUGACAACCCCCUUUGCCCUUAAAUCCCACAUCCUGAAAGGGUGUCAUCCCCCUUGAUCAAAUUGCUUGAUUUGAUGUUACAUUGAAUAACAGACAUUGCAUUAGGAAAAAGAUUCAGGGACAAAUAUAAUGCAAUAAAUAUUUUUUUGGAAAAAUGAUACAUUACAACAAAUAUUCAUUUUCUAUCAGUUUGUGCCUAAAAUAAAUUAUAAGCAUGUUCAUUGGCCAAUGUAGUAAUAUCACAUAAUUUUGUGUAUAGGAAACUUAUAUACCAUGUCAAAUGUAACCAAAAUGUAAUAUGCGAUAUUCCAAGUUAUUGCACCAGUGCUAAAAUAGCUUGAAAAGGGUGACUGAUGUUUAGUGUAGAGAGUUUCUGUCAUUUUAAAAAUUUUGUCAAAUAGUUAAAAAGGUUUGAUGCAAGAAUAUUGGCAAAUAUUAUCUGUAAUGCAAUAUUUAUUGCACCUAGAAGCUUGUGCAAUAACAUAUUCCACUUGAGACAAUAUUAACCAAUAAUUUUAUGUUAUUAGUAGUAAUAAAUUAUAGAAAUAUUCAGUAAGAAUUAGUUUGUAUUUGUGUUAUAAUGUAAAAAUGUUUGUAUUCCGUGUUCAAAUUUAUACUUUUCUACUUCCCGUGUUUAAUGUAGAACAUUCUGUCUCUAUGCACUGUUAUGUGAAAGUCUUUGAAAUCUUUUGUUUUACUGAAAAAAAUAAUUGAAAUCAGUUAAAAUUGACAGAAAAUAACGUUUAUCAAUUUGUUUCCAGAUGUUCGAAAAUGAGAGCAAAUUUGACGAUUUUAACAAAUUGAAACUUAAUUUUCAUAUGCAAAAGUACAAUGUAAAUAAAAAAUUCUUCACCAUCGGAAAGUACCAUAAGUAGAAAUCAAUUGUUUCUUGUGUCAAUGCUCUUAGGUCUUUUCUGGUCAUAUUUUAAGUAAUAUAAUCAGAUAAGUAUUGAGAAAUGACACUGUAGACUCUCUAUUCUCCCUGGUGGACAUGUGCUCAGAGAAAAAAUUUUCAUGAUCCAAUCCAG
rnacentral:lncRNA from 1 species